CUAAGUGAGAGAGACUCUGUAUGUAGGGAUGGUGGACAUGGGCAACGCUGAGGCACAGGAGGUCUAUUGGGGAACCAGAGUCAAGGUCCUGAUAGGAGGAAAAGAGGCCUGAGCCCCACAGGGGUGGGAUGAGCGGGCCCAGGCUAGGGAGAUACUGAGGAAGCCAGUGCCCUAGAACUCGGUAACUGGCAGUCCCUGGGGAGUUAAGGAGCCAGCAGGACACCCAGAUUCUAGCCUGAGUCCCGGUAGAUGGUACACCCUCCAGUCCCCACAAGCUGGGGCAGGUUGGGGGAGCGGUGGUGAGUCAGGGAGGAGCAGCUGAGGGGCUCCUGGAAGAAAGGAGGAAGGUGUCUCAGAGACACCUCUGCUGCCCCCCCUGCCCUGGGGUCUAGGACAACCUCCACCCCAGUCGGGCUCGGUGUCUGCCUCCCCGUGGGCUGCGAGGACUGAACGAGAGCGAUGCCCUUCCCCACAAAUCUGACACCCAUCAAGGCUUUCCUGCCCCUGGGACUCACACCUGUCUGAGAUCAGGGGACACUCUGAACCUUGGAAGCUAUCGCCUCCAUCUAUCAUUUGUAAGAGGAUGACAAGUAACACUAUCAAAACGUAACCUGAUCAGUUACAAUAAAAAGGCCAUUGGGAGACCGGA